rnacentral:piRNA from 1 species
UAGAUCAAAUAAAUCAAAAGUUCAUGG